GCCAAGGUGAAAUUGAUAUCUAACAUAUUAGUCUCAAAACAAAAUCCACAUGGUUAAAUCUACUUUCUAAUCACAUGAUCAAAAUCUACUAAUUGAUCAAUUAACCUAAAUUAGCUCCUAAUUAACAAAAGAAAUAUUAAUUUCUAAUUAGACCUAAAACUAUGCACUAAUCCUAAAUUAAAUUCUGAAACGCUAAGGUCAAAAUUGAACUAAUUUCUAACCAAACCUAAUUAAUCCUAAUUAGGACUUAAUCUAAUUGCUCCCUAAAAUUAUGUUAAUUCCUAAUUAUGAAAAUCUAAAAUCCUAAUUUUAGCCUAGCAAGAAAUCAAUGACAGUGGUGAUUAAUAGAAAUUAAGCAAAUUUAAUAUACUUAACAAUAAUUAGCAAUGGAUUAGUGGGGUUUUAAUGAGGGUUAGCAUGAGCAUUAGAUCAGGGAUGUGGGAAAUGAUCUGCAACAGUAAAUUUGGGACAGAAGCCCAAAGCAUCAACAACAAGGUCACGAGUUUCAAGGUUACCAUGGAUCGUACCUUCUCUACCAGGCGGCGACGAUGCUGAAAGGCUUCUCUACCAGGCGGCGACGACACUACCUCGUGCGAGCAUCAUCGAAAACCAACAAGAAUGAUUCAUCUCACCGUGGAAAAAUGGCUUCAAUCCUCUUCUUCGAUUGAGCGUUCGUUGUGAAAGAUGAAGACGAUACUCCGCGUCCGUGCCUUGUCGAUUCGUUAUGUCGCGAUUGACGGAGGUGCACGGAGCGUCGCGGUGAAGAAUGAAGAUGAAGGUCGUCCGGACGUGGACGGGUAAGCUCUCUCUCGAUUCUCGUUUCCGAUUUUUUGUUUCAGAUUCCUUCGCUUUUCCGUUCCGAUUCCGUUGCUCUUCUUCUUCUAUUUUUUAUUUCUGUUGCAGGGUGGUGGAUCGUUGUGUUGGAGGUUGUUGUUGGAGAUAGAAUGGAGUCGUCGUCAAUGACGAUGGAUGACGGUGGAUGAGUCACGGGUGAAUCUAGAGUAACUGAAGGUGAAGAAACCACGCUCAGGUAACCUUCAAUCUCAAUACUCCUCCCGCCUCCUAUUCUUUCUUCUUCUUCUUCAACUUCUUUAGCCUAUAGGAGCUAUGAUGUGGUUGUUAAUGAGAGGUAUGUGAAUGACUGUGCUGGUUUCUUGGAGGAGGUUGAUCGAAGUUGGAGAAGGUUGUGUAGGGGAUGUCUGGAGGUUCGCGUGAAUGGGAGGUUGCAGGUUUGGUUAGGGUGAAGAAGAAUUAGUCGAAUGGUGAUGGAGGUUACGGUUGGGGAUGUUGAAGUGGUUAAGAUGGAGAAGUAUGGUUAAAGGUUGAUGAAGGGUUCUGUUAACUGUGAUGGAGAGUGAAGAGGGUGAAUGAUUGGUGAACUGUUGAAUUAUGGGAAAGAUUAUGGAGAUGGAAGAAGACAAAACCCCCAGGUGAAGAAUAAGUUAUCAGUUAUAUAGAGGUUGUUGAAGUUGUUAGGAAUUAGUUAGAUUCAAUGACAGGUGGCGACAGUUGGUGACAGUUGGCGACAGUUGGUGACAGGUGGCGACAGUUGGAAUUCGGUUCGAGUUGGUUAUGAGAUGGUGAGUUAGUUGGUCGAAGAGGAUUCUGAUGGCUUUUGUUUGUAGGGAAUUCGAGGUGAAGUUGGAUUACCGGUUCUGUUAUGGAGAGUUUUGCAGGUACUGUUGAGAGGUUGUUCCCUGGUUGAAAGGUUGUGAAUUCAAAUCAAGAGAGAUUGGAUGGAAGGUUAUGUAUGAAGGUUUUUGUUAGUAAUUUUUUGUUAGGAUUUUUGGUUAUGAUGAAUCAGUUAGAGAUUGGAGGGUGAUCUUUUUGGAGGAUGGAAAAUGAGAGGGUUUUGAAACAGUUCAAGAAUUUGGUUCUGCCUGUUGCGGGAAGUUAUGAGAUCUCUUGAGGGGGUCCAAGAAAAUUCAGUUAGAAAGGUUGAAGAUUUUUUUGAAGAGGGUUCAAUUCUGUUUUUUUUUUCUGGAUUUGUAGUUCCCUUCUCUGUUUUUCUUCAUUUAUUGGAAGUGGUUCGGCUAGCUUGGAAAUGGUUCUUUCGUCUGUAGGUUACGUCGAAACCGUUGGCGGUUAACUGUAAUGAUGCAGGUUAGUUCCCAACUGGGAUGGAGUCGGUGUGGUAUGAUUGUCAGAUUGUCUUCAUCAGAAAAAGUAAUCACGUUGAAUCAAGCAUCAAUGGAGGUUCACACAUCACUUCAAAGCUCAUCACUCUUUGCAAAUUAUGUAAGAGAAAUGUUUUGAUAUUUUCCAUUUAUGCCGCUGCCGAAGUUUUUUUUGCAGGAUUAAGGAUAUUAUCUGGUAUAUGCCAUGGAUGUUAAGCGUGCAAUUUCGUCUAAUGUCCUCCUGAUUAUGGCAGGACCUUUAGAACAGGAUCCUGGCGCUUUGGCUCGGAAACGGUUAACUUAAUUUGGAAGCAUUGGUUAAUUGUGAUUAGAGUUGAAGACGGUCCGGGUUUCUCGCAAUGAAAGUGAAUACUUACUCAGUUAUCAGAUUUUGGAUGUAGGGAGUUAGAGCCUUGGUCGGUUUUUUCAGUUAUGUUUCGGGUUCAAGUAUGUAACGUGCAAUGACAUAUGUAAUGGGCAUUGAAAUUGUAGCAAAAUUACCCAUUAUAUGCUAUGUGCAACGAUUCCUAUGCAAAUGAAUUGUAAACCCCCUUUUUUUAAUCAAUUUUAAAAUCUCUUUCUAGA